rnacentral:misc_RNA from 1 species
GGCCUAAGGACCAAAACAGAUGAAUUCUAAAACUUAAGGGACACAAUUGAGUUAAAAACUCUUUAACAAUUACAGAGCACUGCCCGCCGACGGUUGUUUGCUUGCGUCUGGACAAAUACUGCAGAGCUGCGAAUCGCUUUCAGUUUUACUAUAAAUUCUUGGCAAUAGCUAGUUGAUGGAAUCGGAAGUUUCUAGAAGUCCAUGGCGAGUGCUGGAGUUCUACAGUGGAAUUGGUGGCUUGCGG